GGCCGGUAUCCAGCAUCGUUAAGAGCAAAGGCAUGCUUUGUGGUUGCAGAUUGGCACCGGAGUGGCCCUCCCUUCCUCUCCCGUGGGGCCCGAGAGGGUCCGGGGGCCAGGGGAGCCAGUGGCGGCAGCCUGCCUCAGUGCAUGUUCUCUGAGCUCCUCCUGACCUUGCUGGGAGUGUGUCUGAUCAGACAUUUCCCCUGUGACUAAAUAUUUGGUCACGGCAGCAGGAGAGAAUUCCAUCAGCGGACAGCUCUAUUUUUAAGGCUCUGGCUUUGUUUUCUGUUUCCCGAGAGGCAGCCCCUGCAGCAGGCUGGAGCCUCUCACACUGACAGCCCGCCUCGCAUAAUGUUAAGCAGGCUUCGGACACUUGCUGGAAGGCAGGGAAUUGCAAUGGAAAAGGGCGGAGGUGAAAGGCUGUGCUCCUCGGGGUGAAGGCAGCUCCUGGGAUCUACUGUCAGGCCAAGGUCAACAGGAAGAAAGUCUUUGAUGCACUUUAGUUCUGGAUUCAAGAGUAUUUCUGACAUCUGAGCUACCCGGCAUGUCUGGACGUUUUCUACUUUCUCAGACUUCCUGGAUCGAAAUUAAGCUUCUCACCUUUAAAGAUCCCAGCUGUGAGCUUUUGCCUGCUAGGAACAGAGUCCCAGUUCACAUAGGACUCCCAGCUACCUCAGGACCCUGGGCAGAGUCCCGGCUCACACAGGACCCCCAACUCCCUCACACCUGCUGACUGAUGAACGCCGGUGUGUUUUCUAUCCGUGACCUGAAUCAGGUAAAAGCUGCAUGGAGAAAUGGCAGGGGGUGGGCACAAGGAUUGUGGUGACAUCCCCCUGUGGGUGCAGGACCUGCAGCCUUAGGGGCAUGUGGCCUGGUGUCCGCUGUCUCCAUGCCAGGUGUGCAGGCACUGCCAUCAUCUUGGGGUCAGCAUCUAGGGCCCUAGUGGAUUUCACACUCAGCCCUAUUGGGUAUCAGAUUCUGUCUGGGAUGUACCAUAGGAGUUAGAGACGUGGGUUGGAAGUGGGACUCAGAGAUCAGAGACAAAUAUGGCCAACUGAGAAUUAGGCUGGGCUCCAGCUCUGGGUGCAGAUGGGUGGAAAAGUCAGAGGUGCAGCCGCUGCUCGGGAAUCUGGUGGGAAGAGGCUCAGCUCACCUGAGUGGCCAGGCCUCUAGGCGAUGGGGACUCCAAGGCGAGCAGCCUGGAGGUACUCCUGGUUUUCCCAUCAGCCCCAGUCAGUGUCUAGGGAAUGCCCAGGAGGAGCAGCAGAAGCCCUGGGUUCCUGCUACCCACAGUCUUUAAGGUCACACCUCUGCCCUGGGGUCAGGGAGCUGGGGCAUCAUAGACACCUCCUGCCUCAUGCUGUCUGCACCCUGCAGCAUCACUCAGAGACUCCUCCAUUGCAAGGACACUCUGCCUGGUGCUAGCUGGGAGCCAAGGGAAGAUUCGAUCAGGAGCCUGUGGGUGCCUUCACAGGCUUUCAGGAACUCUGAUGGACUCAUAAGGGCUCUCCUUCCUGGUGCUGGCUCAGUAGCACUGACAUGUGCCAUGUCUGUCUUGUCUUUCAAAAGGACUCCCUGGAUAAGAGUUAGGCAGGGGCAGGCCACCUGUUUCUGGGAUCUCCAAUCACUGCCACUGGAAUCUCAGGGGACUCACCCAAACCCACCCACAUGGCAGGCAGCUAUCCUCACAAAUCAAUGAUGUUCCACGAGUUUUUCCAGCAGAGCACACAGAGGCCCCUCUUCAAUAACUGCUUAAUAUCUGUAAUAGGUCUUAGUGUUUUCUAAGACAAAGUCCUGUUGAGAAGGCCUGAGCUCCCGCGUGUCUGGUGUCUGGCUCCGCAGGAAGGAUUUCCACGUCUGCUUGCAGGCUGGGGUCCAGUCUGGCUCUGGAUGGAAUGCUCCCUUGCACAGAGGAAGGGAACCACAGAAGGCAGCAUUCAAAGCCUGAGUCCCCGGAGGAUGGAGGACACAGGAUGUGGAAUGCAGGUGUCCUGUGAGCAGGGCAGGGAGCAUGGAAGAGAGCGGUCUCGGGCUGUGCAGAAGGAAAGGCAGCAGCAGCUGCGCUGGCCCGCUAGGCUUUCUGUGAAACCCUUGGCUUUUGAAAGACUCAUCUCUUGAGGGGCAUUUGGGGUGAGGCAGGGUGGAGAGGACCUGGAGUAAUGUUGUCAGGGCUCGUGAAGGAAGAGAAGUGGCCCUCUGUGCUGAGUGUUGGCAGAGAAGACUUGGAAAGAAUUUGAGUUAAUACAAUUUCAACAAAGAGUUUUCAAAGGUUGUUCCAGGUGGCCUCUGUCGAUGCCUCUCAAGGGAGGAAGACAUCUCCAACCACAUUUCUGGAGCCAGCCCGGCAGCUUUAUCCAUGUCAAUAGCUGAGAACAGCGCCAGGCAGCAAAUGUGCAAAGAAGCGUGUGGAGAUGUCAUGGGGAUUCCAGCUUUCAGCCUUGCCCUCCAGGAGAUGACCAUGCUGGGAAGUUCUCCUCCACAGAGCAUUUGUGGGAGUUGUCAGAGAGUGGAGGGCAUGUGAGUGGCCAGGCCUCCAGGCCUGGGGAUCGGGACUCUGAAGCAAGCAUCCUGGAGGUACUUCUAGUUUUCCCAUCAGCCCGGGUAUGUCUGGGGAUGCCCAGAAGGAGCAGCAGAAGGCCUGGGUUCUUCCUACUCAUGUCCAGAGUGCACAGUUCCACACCCUGCAUCGCAAUGGGGGCUUAAAGCAGUGGCCACGUCUGUUUCUCUCCACCGGGGAGCUCAGUGCAGAAUCCCAGUUGCGAGGCUCUGUCUCCAAGCACCCGCCUCACUGGAACAAGUCAUCACAACAACUAAGACAGCUUGCAAUCAAGACUACACAGCCCUCAUCCUUGUAAGGAAACAACAUGACAGGUAUUAAAGCGUGGCUAUUUGAGGAAAUCAUAAUAAAUAUCUUUGGCAGAGUAAGGCUGGUGAUGGCUUGAGUCUCAGUGGCUGAGGCUCUGUCAGCUUUCCCAUUAUGAAACCCAUUUUUCAGUGUUUUUAACUUGAAAGUAAAGAUGUGCUCCUGGCAGAAGAAACCCAGUACAUGAAGUCUCCAUCCAGAAAGAGGGACCUGAACAGAUUUGUUCAGAUCAGUUGAGAUUGUAAAGAAAGACUGUCCUGAUAGGUCUGGCGCUGGGACAAAUCACCCAAUUUCUGUUGCAAGCUAGUUAACAGUAGGAAAAUGUUUGUGGAAAUCUUGCCCAGAGAGCACCUGCCUGAUGUUUAUCUGAAAGUGCCUAUAAGUGGGUCAAAUUCUGGGGGCUAAAAGCAUUGGCCAUGUGGCUUUUGGAGAGCAGAGGAGGGGCACCUUUCCCCCUAGAAAAAGCUCAGAUAGGAUCUGAGGCUCCAGGAACUGCGCCUGGCUUCCUGACCUUUCUGAGGGAAUACAUCGAACCUGGCAUCUAGCGGCUGUUGAGUCCUGACUGUCCUCUUCAUGUCAUAAGUCAAAUGCCUGCUUCUAAGUCAUGCAGGCCCCAAAAGCAUCACUUUGCCUAAUUAAUGAGUACCCGGAUGGGAACCCUAGUUCUCCAUCAUUAGAUGCCUCCACUCCGUUUCCCAAAGCUCUUCACAAACAAGGUAAGUAGAUUCCUGCCCACACGCAAUGUUCAAGGUCUAGAAAAUAAUCAAAUGAAAUGAAAUCUCAUCCUGCUUCAUCAGCACUGAACAGCCUUUAGGCCAUCAGUAUUGCCAAUAGGCCGUGGUGUCUUCCUGAUAGAACUGUGGAUUCAGUGGUGGGUAUGCAUACCGUUUGUAUCGACUGUUUAUCAUGAGAGGGUGGAGAUUUAGACGGCGGUGAGCUGCAGCAGCGCUCGUGUUUCCUGGGAAUUCUCAGUUCUAGGGCGUGUGGUCCAAACUCUUAGCUGGGUUUGGUUGGGAACCUCCACAGUUGAAACAUCCCAUGGACCAGCGUAGCAGUUUAAAAACAUUCUUCCAUUUUAUUUUAUUAUUUUAGUUUUGUAUUUUUAGUAGAGAUGGGGGUUCACCAUGUCGGCCAGGCUUGUCUCGCACUACUGACUUCAGGUGAUCCGCCCGCCUUGGCCUCCCACAUGCUGGGAUGACAGGCGUGAGCCACCGUGUCUGGCCUAAAAGCAUUCUUUCUACUUUUCUUUUUCUGUGAAAAAUUUGGGAAGCAUAAAAAAAAAAAUAGGAAAAAUUAAAUAGUCAUUCUGCAUUCUCUGUCUAUAAUCUCCAGCUAGCCAGUGUUAGCAUUGUUAAACCUUCUUCCAGUCAUUUCUCAGUGACACAGUCACACGCUUUACAAAAGUGAGAUUCUAUUUUCUAGUUCUCCAUUCUGAUUUACGUAUUUAUCAUCGUAUUAGGUGCAUUUUUCUGUCUCCAUAGAUAGUCUUAGAAAAAUAGCAUUUAAAAAUUAACUACGUAAUCGUCCCUUGUAUGGAUUUUACACCUUCUCUUUAUGGACGCAGUGUUCUUAUUUUUUUGCUAUUAUAAAAACUUGCCUUGAUGAGCAUCUUUACAUAUGAAUACUUUUAUGCUUCUGAUUAUUUAUUUAAAAUACACUCCUGGAAGCUCCUAAAAAUGACUGUAUCAAAGAAUGAACCUAUUACAAAUUGUUCUGAUACAGAGUAAGACACUGUCCCCACCACAUACAGCAUAAAAUACUUCUGCGCUCUACUAUAGGCAGAGCGUUUCCAAAACAAAGCUGACAUUUUUGGAUAGGUUAAUAUGGUCAUGCCUCUUUUUGCUUUUUUUUUUUCUGUUGUGUAGGUAAAACUACUAAAAUAAUAUUAAUCCACUUUUCUGUGUUCGUUGGUAAUAUUUCUUCAUAAUUCUUCAUUCCCUCCCUUUCCCAGUUUUGGUUCACUGUGAGCAGUUCACAGUGUCACCGUCCUGCCUUGGACCCUAACGAUAUGACUUGCUCAGCCACUGUGAAAUGAACAGGUACAUGCCAGAGGCUUUAAACACAUGUGUGGAGUUUCCGCCCGUCCUGUUUCCCUUCUGCCCUUAGCCAUGAAAUGAGCAUGCCCAGCUUGUCACUGGGCUCAGAGCGAAGAGACGUAUGAGACACCCCUAAGCCCAGGUGUCACUCUGGAGCCUAGCCAGCCAAGCAGUAGCUGAUGAGCAGUAGCCCAUCCAUGAAUGAGAUUUAAAUGCAUGUGAUUUUAGCCACAGAAAUUUAAGAGAUGUUUGUUACCCGGGAUUAUCACAACGAAAGCUGAUUUGAAGAGCUUCGUUUGUCAGAUGACCAAUAUGAAGCUUAGAAAGAUGAAGCCAUUUGGCCAAAGUUACCCAGGAAUCAAUGGGAGAGUGUAGAUGAAACCCAAGUCUGCCCUAGUUCUCGAGGUAGUAUUGCUUCAUGGCUGGUGCACACAAGUACGGCCUUAUGAUUUCCUGUGUUCUGGCUGGAGUUCUCGGGGCUUCCCCUGAUGCCUACGGCAGCUGUAGACCUGAGAUCCUGCCCCACUUCGGAAGAUAGCAGCUAUCACAGAUGAGGUGGCGGACAGGGCGAGAGCAGGGCCUGGGGAAGGCAGCAGCAAAAUAGCCGGUGUGAAAUGACUGGCCACUUUAAGUCACUUAUUAUGAGUAAUUCAUUUAGAAUUUGAGAAAAUGAAUGUCAAAAUGUGAUGCUUAACACACACACAGAUUCAUAUUUAUGAACGUGAGCUAGGGAGUCACACUGCUCAGUGUGAAAUUCCAGUCGCCUGACUCCCUACCUUUCUGACUUAUAAGUUAUGAGAGCAUCUGUGUAUUUCAGCUUCUUCCUCCAUAACAUGAGAUGACAGGAGUGCUUUCCUCAUACAAAUGAUGUGACAAUUAUAUAAAAUGAUACUUAUUAAUACAUGGAAGAGUGCCUGGCAGAUAGUAGGCACUCAAUAAAUCUUAAAGAAUUACUAGUUUUAGUACCUGCCCUUCAGAGCCCACUGGACUUGAUGUAAAGCACUGGCCACCGUAGCUUACCUUUUCUGUUACUUGAACCAAUUCACAGUUCCAUGUUAAGGUAUGAGGAUUUCUGGAUGUCAGCCCUGAUGAUUUGGACUUUGGUUCCUUUGAUCAUUAGUAAGGUUGGAUGUGCAUAUUGGCAAGUGGUGCCGUUGGGACUUUGUCAAUGAGCGAAAUGUUUCAAAUCGUAUGUCAAUCUCAUCUUCAGUUCUGUCUUUUUCAAAACCCUCUGAUUAUAAUCCAGCUGCACAGAGCGUGAGACUGACGCGCGUUAGGAAUCCCAUUGGUUCUGACAUCUCUAACGCCCCUUUCUGUUUGGAUUCCACACAGAAUGCCUGCCGUUUGCAUGGUUCUAAUACUGAGUGUCAGCUCCUUAAUAACCAGUAGGCAAAGAAAUGAACAGGAAAGAAAGAGAGCUGGGCCUGGGGAUUACAGGUGAUAUGAAUUUAUGGCUGUGACCAGAUUGUCAGAGUCAUCUAGGAUUUAGUACAGCUGUCAGCAGAAGGUGAGCUCACAGGCAGUCUUCUGGAGUCUGGGAUCCAGCCAAAGGCCAGCAAGCCCAACUGAGGAACAGAGGUGGGAAAAUUGGCUAGCUCUGCUGAUCUGGUCAGAUGCUCAGCCCCACCGCAAGCUGGUUUUGUUACUUUGAAUGGAUGAUGCUGCUUCCUGAUGACUGAGCUCAGCCUGGUGCCUUUCUUCUGCUCACUGCCAUCUUCAACUGUUGGGGGCUAAGACUGAGGCCUGGGCCUCUCCUUGGACCAAACUUGGGUGUGGUCCUGGUGACACAUGAAACAGAAGUGUGGUGGAGGCGCAGAAGGUGAAGAGUCCUAGAAGCAGGUGGAAACUCGGUUCCAAUUACUUUCUUUUGUUUCCUGGCACAUAUGCCAAAACCAGGAAAUUCUUUUCUUUGUGGAAUCUGCUUUUCCAGUGGAGUUUCCUAUAUGAUUAAACACUUUGAUCAUGUAUGUAUUUUUUAAUGGAGUCUCGCUCUGUUGCCCAGGCUGGAAUGCGAUGGUGUGAUCUCAGCUCACUGGAACCUCCACCUCCCGAGUUCAAGCGAUUCUCCUGCCUCAGCCUCCUGAGUAGCUGGGAUUACAGUUACCCGCCAUCACGCCUGGCUAAUUUCUGUAUUUUUUUUUAAAUUUUUUAUUGCAUUUUAAGUUUGGGGGUACAUGUGCAAAACAUGCAAGACAGUUGCAUAGGUACACACAUAGCAGUGUGUUUUGCUUCCUUUCUCCCCUUCACCCACAUUUGGCAUUUCUCCCCAGGCUAUCCCUCCCCAGCUCCGCCCCCCACCGCUGGCCCUCCCCUUUUCCCCCCAGUAGACCCCAGUGUUUAGUUAAUUUCUGUAUUUUCAGAAGAUACAGGGUUUCAUCACAUUGGUCAGGCUGUUCUCAAACUCCUGACCUCGGGUGAUCCACCCACCUCAGCCUCCCAAAGUGUCGGGAUUACAGGCAUGAGCCACUGCACCCAACCCAAUUACCUUCUUAUUAAGAGGAAAAGAAAAUAUCCCAGUUGGUUGCCAUCCUCUUGAAGCCGGGGGGUGUCUGGUCUCUGUAACCAUUUCCCUUUCCUGCACCUAUUAUAGUGCUAACCGUGCAACCAGUCUCCAAUCAUUGGUCAUUUUUAUCUUUUUCCAGGAUUGAUAAGUGUGUCGUGUUCAAUAAUACUUAGAAAGAAUUAAAUAAUCACAUAAUCUCUGAGUGAAGAGGGACUUUGGAGGCAGCUAUUGCCUGUUUUCCAAAAUAUAUUUAGCAGGCCUCUAAUGCAAUUAAUUCCAUCGAUGGGCAGCCGUGAGGCUCAGGUGCUCUUUAUUACACUGAGUGGAAACUUCCCUAUUUUUUUUUUUUUUUAGCAGAGUGAGGGAGAAGACAUCCCCAGGCCUUGUAGACAUAACCUUUACCCCCUUCUCUAUCCUCUCUCAUUACAGAUGUGUUCUUGGCUCAACAGAAUGGGCCUAGGUGGAAGCUGAAAUUAAUGAAGAGGUGCUGCUUACAGCCUUUUGAGCAAGAAGUUUGGUAUCCAGUUAUUACACCUUGAGGAUUGGAGCAGGUCGUUCUCACCAAGUUCCGAAGCCCAUGUAAAAUGGUACCAUCCUGUUUCACUGGACCCCGCUCUGCAGAAAGCAGUGGACAAAAAGAUCAACCUUCAGCCCUCUGCUUAAGCGAGUUCUGACGUCAUUGAAUAACUUCUGCAGCAUGGAAGUGCCAGGACCCUCAUUGGCUCCUCAUGGCCAAAUAGCCUCACUCUCCAUUAGAAGAGAAAGCCUCACUCUCGGCCGGGCGCGGUGGCUCAAGCCUGUAAUCCUAGCACUUUGGGAGGCCGAGGCGGGUGGAUCACGAGGUCAACAGAUCUCUCGAUCUGGUCAACAUGGUGAAGCCCCGUCUUUACUAAAAUUACAAAAAAUUAGCUGGGCACGGUGGUGCGUGCCUGUAAUCCCAGCUGCUCGGGAGGCUGAGGCAGGAGAAUUGCCUGAACCCAGGAGGCGGAGAUUGCGGUGAGCCGAGAUCGCGCCAUUGCACUCCAGCCUGGGCAACAAGAGCGAAACUCCGUCUCAAAAAAAAAAAAAAAAAAAAAAAAAAAAAAAGAAAGCCUCACUCUCCAUUAGAAGCCCAGGAAAGCAAAAUCAGGGACUGCUUUAAAAACAGUGUGAUGAUAAAGAAUUUCAGAAGAAAAUAAAGAUUUUACCACUGCUCAGUCAUGAAUGCUCGUAACAGGCUGGGGAGUAGGAACUAUGGUUAUCACAGCCCCUUUUUGAUAGAGAGGGAAAUUGUCCAAAAUUAUGCAAAGCAUAAGUGGCCAAGCCAGCAUUUGAACUCACAGCACUUUGCUGUGCUGUCUCUCAUGCCUUCUGCAGGGAAGUCUCCCUGGACAACCUUCACCCGUCUUCAUACCUCUCCCCUCCGCCUAGGCUAGGACAGCACGCUCGGACAGACCCAGCUCCUUCUGCUUCAUAAUGCACAGUUUGCAAUGCUGUAAUCGUCACCACAAUGACUGUUUCCAGUGCUUCUUUCCUGCUGCGUGGUUCAGUUCUUGUGGGCGGAGCCUGGUCUGUUUUCCCGCUGUGUGUGUCCAAUCGCUUGGCAGAGUCUCUUCCCUGCAGUCACUGACUGGGCUGAGCAUUUUUUCUUCCACCGGCUGAGCAUCUCAGCUGUCCUGCUAACUGGGGGCAGGCUGAGGGAGUGCUACUUCCAGAUAUCUUCUUUGAACUUUUUUUUUUGAGACAGGGUCUCACUCUGUUACCCAGGCUUUGCAGUCAUGGCUCGCUGCAGCCUCCACCUCCCAGGCUCAAGUGAUCUUCCGCCUAAGCCUCCCAAGUACCUGGGACCCAGGGCCUGCCCCCAGGGCAUCAAUCAUGUCCAGCUAAUUUUUGUGUUUUUUGUAGAGACAGGGUUUUCCCAUGUUUCCCAGGCUGGUCUUGAACUCCUGGCCUUAAGCAAUCUGCCUGCCUCAGCCUCUCAAAGUGUUGAGAUUACAGGGGUGAGCCAUGAGCUACCGCCCCCAGCCUUGCCUGCACUUUUGAAUGGCUCCCUUGCCAGGGUUCUGUGCAUGAUAGCAGUGGGAGAGAGAAGACAGGACUCUUGCUUCAGAGGGUGUCUUGGGGUCUGGGAAGGAAGAUGCUAACCUGAAACAGUGGGUAUGAGAGGCAGCAGCUCUUUCAGAGGGCCUCUCUGUACACGUUGAACUGCUGAGUCUUCCCUCUGAGGAUCACAGAUGUGAGCAGAGCAGUGAGGAGGGACAGAAAAAAAGGGAAAACUGGGUUUCUUCUGAGAUUCUUUAUUGCUACACUGUUUGUUUUUAAAGCAGUCCCUGAUUUUGCUCUCCUGGCCUUCUAAUGGAGAGUGAGGCUGUUUUGCCACAGUAUGGGCUGUCAGGGGACAAAUAAGCCAUUUCUGCUUGCUGACACUAAACGAAGCUUCCCUGCCGAGGAGGUGCCAAUGCAGCUGGCAGCAGCUCUGUGACGAGUGUGGUAGGUAACUAUUAGGCCACCAGGGGCAGGCAGCAAUCUCCCUAUGUAGAUAAUUCAGAGGAGGCCUUCCAGAGGCCCUGGGUUCAAAUCCCACUUCCACCUCCUCCUAGCUCUGUGAGUUUAGGGCCCACUCUGAGUCUCUAUGUCCUCACAGACAAAUUGUGGGAAAUGACACUUUCUCCCAUAGCAUUUACAGGCAGGUGUGGUGGUUUGAGUGUUUGUGUUCCUUUCAAAAUUCAUGCUGAAAUGUACUAGCCAGUGUAACAGGAUUAAGAGUUGGGGUGUCCAGAAGGAGGUGGUUAAAUCAUGAAAGUAGAGCCCUCACAGAUGAGAUCUGGUGCCGUUAUAAAAGGCACUGAUAGAAGGAGUCUGUCCCCUUUGUGCUUCCUCCCUCUGCCAUAUGAGGACACAGCAUUCCUCCCUUCAGAAUGAUGCAGCAGUCAGAAGGCUCCCUUGGAGGCAGACACCAGGCAGCCAACACGCCGGGCUGUGGUUUUGGACUUCCCAGCCUCUAGAACCAUGAGAAAUAAAUGUAUCGUUUUUAAAUAAAUUACCCAGCUGUUGGAUUUUGUUAUAGCAGUUAAUGGACUAGACAGCAGGUUAACUGAGCCUGAACUUGGGAAACAGUUUAAUAUAUAGUUCACUCAUUCUUUUACUUAGUUUCAACUACUGGGCUGAGCGUUGAUGACAUGCUUGGUAGACGCAAGACAUAUCUUACUCUAAGAGAGUCUUGUUCUAGGACAGUUCAGAUACUUAUGAGGCCAUAUUGUUCUUCUUACCCUUGCAUAAGCCCUUUUGAGCAACUUACUGGGUCCUAACUCCAAUUCCUUUCUCCUGUGGAAGACAUCUGGCAUUUUCACCAGUGGGUAUCCAUCCUCCCUCUGCAAUCCUUUCUUUUUCUAACUAGUGAAACUAAGGAAACAUUAGUUUUUUACCUGUACAUUUCAUGUGCAGAAACCCAACAUACACGGUGAAGGAUACAUUGUGGGUGCUUUUCUAGGUUCUUUCACAUGACAGGUAACAUGUGGAGAAGAUGGCUGGGCCUAUAGUGGGCCUCCCUGCUUCCCUAGGCUGGGCCAUUCAAAGCAGAGCUCCACUUCCCUUCAUCGUUAUAAUAGCCUUCUAACUGAUCUCGGGGCAAGUGACAGAGUCAGGUCCUUCAAAUUGGCAGAAAUUGCUGAAAAGUAUUCUGUCUCUUCUACCGGAGGGUUCUUAGCUGGCGAAUUGGAAUCCUGGCACUGCUGGAUGUCACCAUGUGACCAGAGCCAGCCUGAGAAAGAAGCCGCAGAAGGAAGCAGAGGCAGAGGUGGAGAGAUGGAGUUUGGGGUCCUGACAUUAGACCUGCCUCUCAACUUCACAGCUACAUGAUCACAUAGAUUGCCUUGGUUGAUUAGCCAGUUUCAGGUUGACUUUUAACUUUUAACCCACAGUGUCCUAAUACACCUUUCCCACUCAUUCCUUUGUUGCUUAAUUAGUAAGUUACGCUCUCUGCAAGAGUUUAACCUGGACAUAUCCAGUGGGGAUGAAGACACAGCCCUGCCCUUGGGGAACAUGUCUUCCAGUGGACAAGGCAUGGUCAGGCCCCAGUCAGCACAGCAGAAAGCACCAUGAGUAAGCAUCCAGGGACUAAGGUAGAAAAUAAUUAAUAUAGGAGGCCAAGCAGGUGAGUUGGUGAGAGCCUUUCAGACUGCAGAGUGAAUGAGGGUCUGUUCAGGAGGUCACAAUGGAGCAGGGGCUACUUCCAGAGCCCCCAGUUGGGCCAAUUCAGUGCCUGUGCACCGCUCAGCUGGGGUAUUACCGCAUCCUCCUUCCCCCAGCCCUGAGAUCCAGAAACCCAACACCCAGUAGUUCCCAGGAAUCUGAUGGCAAUCAGCUGGGCAAGGAAUCACGCAGUUCCAGAAAUAGGCAGCCUCAAAAAGAAGAUCCAGGCUGGGCACAGUGGCUCACGCCUGUAAUCCCAGCAAGUUGGGAAGCCAAGGCAGGCAGAUUGCUUGAGCCCAGGAGUUUGAGACCAGCCUGGGAAACUUGGUAAAACUCCAUAGCUACCAAAAUUAGCCAGACAUUAUGGCUUACAUAUGAAGGAUCAGUGUUAGAAUAGCGAGUAAACUUUGAUGGUAGUUCUGGAUAUUUGCCUCCUACUUCUGCUCCGACAGGAAUGUAGUCAAGAUUGCAUGGGGCAGACUUUGAAUUAGACAGUAAGCUUUCUGAGGACAGGGCCAGUUCCUUCACCUUUCUCUCCUGUGUGCCUAACAUUGGAACAUAUACAUGUGCAUGCGCUAAAAGUAUUUAAUACAGAUUCACUGACUUAUUUUCUAAAAAAUCUUUGUGAUAUUUCUCAAAAUACUAUAAACCAGAGAAAUAUU